rnacentral:rRNA from 1 species
GUGGGGAAUAUUGGGCAAUGGGCGAAAGCCUGACCCAGCAACGCCGCGUGAAGGAAGAAGGUUUUCGGAUCGUAAACUUCUAUCCUUGGUGAAGAUAAUGACGGUAGCCAAGAAGGAAGCCCCGGCUAACUACGUGCCAGCAGCCGCGGUAAUACGUAGGGGGCAAGCGUUGUCCGGAAUGAUUGGGCGUAAAGGGCGCGUAGGCGGCCCGGUAAGUCUGAAGUGAAAGUCCUGCUUUUAAGGUGGGAAUUGCUUUGGAGACUGUCGGGCUUGAGUGCAGGAGAGGUAAGCGGAAUUCCCGGUGUAGCGGUGAAAUGCGUAGAGAUCGGGAGGAACACCAGUGGCGAAGGCGGCUUACUGGACUGUAACUGACGCUGAGGCGCGAAAGUGUGGGGAGCAAACAGGAUUAGAUACCCCUGUAGUCC